AGGCCCUACGGGGCGCAGCAGGCGCGAAAACUUUACAAUGCGGGAAACCGUGAUAAGGGGACACCGAGUGCCAGCGUCAUACGCUGGCUGUCCAGGUGUGUAAAAUACACCUGUUAGCAAGGGCCGGGCAAGACCGGUGCCAGCCGCCGCGGUAACACCGGCGGCCCGAGUGGUGAUCGUGAUUAUUGGGUCUAAAGGGUCCGUAGCCGGUUUGGUCAGUCCUCCGGGAAAUCUGAUAGCUCAACUAUUAGGCUUUCGGGGGAUACUGCCAGACUUGGAACCGGGAGAGGUAAGAGGUACUACAGGGGUAGGAGUGAAAUCUUGUAAUCCCUGUGGGACCACCUGUGGCGAAGGCGUCUUACCAGAACGGGUUCGACGGUGAGGGACGAAAGCUGGGGGCACGAACCGGAUUAGAUACCCGGGUAGUCCCAGCCGUAAACGAUGCUCGCUAGGUGUCAGGCAUGGCGCGACCGUGUCUGGUGCCGCAGGGAAGCCGUGAAGCGAGCCACCUGGGAAGUACGGCCGCAAGGCUGAAACUUAAAGGAAUUGGCGGGGGAGCACAACAACGGGUGGAGCCUGCGGUUUAAUUGGACUCAACGCCGGACAACUCACCGGGGACGACAGCAAAA
rnacentral:rRNA from 1 species